rnacentral:lncRNA from 1 species
UAUUGAGGUUGGUUGGUGAGCCGAGGGUAAAACCAACGUGUAAGGGUUCGAUUGUGAUCCCGGGAAAACAAUCGGGUUGGUUCUAGUCGGUGAGCCUGGGAAAACCGACCGAGUUCGUUGUGAGCUCGUAAAACAACAAGUUUGGUUGUGAGCUUGGAAAACAACCGGCUGUAAUCCAAGGGGGUUAUAGUGAAUUCCCAAGUGAGACUUGGGGAGCGGACGUAGGAGCAAGGGUUAGC